AGCCUUUGGACCGGGUGGCAACCUUCCACAGUGACAUUCUCAAGUCAGAAACGUAAAAUGUUUAUAAAUUAUAUAAAUCGCACAAGAAGAGACAAUUUGUAAGUUUGGUAAUGGCAUCGAUUGAUACUAGCAAGCGGAAACCAAGGCGCACACUAGGCACACCAUCAUAUAAAUAUCGCAAUCGCUUUGCUUACGCUUUACUUGCCGCUGGCUCGCUGCUUUUUGGAAUUUGGAGUCUAACACCCAUGCAACGCAUUGCCAACGAGAGAAUCACCCAAGCCUUAGUCACACAAUCCGAGGAAGAGAAGGAUCGUCGUGCAUUGUUUGAUUUUGCGGCUCCACGCAGAGCAGAUUUCAUCCGGGAGGCAAUUGAGGAGGCAGAGCAGCUGGCCAAGGAGCGCUAACAACAUGGACAGAGAGACGCGCAAGGCCAACUUUAAGAAACUACAACAACCCGCAACCACAAAGCUGCGCAAUACACGCAGCAGCAGCAAGGCGGUUGCAGUGACCACGACAUUAUCCGACUAUUUCAGUACACAGGAGAGUGCCAGUAAUGAGGGAACGCAACCUAGGCG